rnacentral:rRNA from 1 species
UACGUAGGGUGCGAGCGUUGUCCGGAAUUAUUGGGCGUAAAGAGCUUGUAGGUGGCUCGUUGCGUCGGGAGUGAAAACCUGCGGCUUAACCGCAGGCCUGCUUCCGAUACGGGCGAGCUAGAGUUCGGCAGGGGAGACUGGAAUUCCUGGUGUAGCGGUGGAAUGCACAGAUAUCAGGAGGAACACCGGUGGCGAAGGCGGGUCUCUGGGCCGAUACUGACGCUGAGGAGCGAAAGCGUGGGGAGCGAACAGG